AAAAUUGGGCCUGUUCAGAGGAGACACAAUGAUCACGAAAGUGGUUUUCCCAGGACGAAGCUUAUCCAUUACACUCCAGAUGUGCUAACCCCUGAGAUUUCCCCAAAAGUGGGAAAACUUGACUGCAUGAUUUGUGGUGGUGGGGGGGAACUUGUGUUCUCACUCUCCCUGC